rnacentral:rRNA from 1 species
UGGCACAAACUUAGACACAUCCCACUAUAUUGUCCGCCAGAGUACUACAAGCGCUAGCUUAAAACCCAAAGGACUUGGCGGUAUCCCAUACCCACCUAGAGGAGCCUGUUCUAUAACCGAUAAUCCCCGUUCUACCUCCACCACUUCUUGCCAUUACCGUCUAUAUACCGCCGUCGUCAGCCCACCCUGUGAAGGAUCAAAAGUAAGCAAAAAGAAUAAAACUCCAAAACGUCAGGUCGAGGUGUAGCAAAUGAAGUGGGAAGAAAUGGGCUACAUUUUUUUCUAAAAACACACGAACGGUAAACUGAAAACACACCUAAAGGUGGAUUUAGCAGUAAGAGGAGAUCAGAAUACUCCCCUGAAAUCGGCUCUGGGAUAAGCACACACCGCGAACUCACCCUCAAGUCUCGGUGUUCUCCCCGGGUUGUGUUUUUUUUGGGGGGGGAGGAAUAUCAUGGGGGGGGGGGGGGGGGGAGAAACCCCGCCAGUGUCUGUGGGGGGGGGGGGGGGGGGUUAAAUACUAACACAGAGGUUACAAAAUAUAAUGUC